AUAGUUCUGAAAUUGGAAGGAGAUACUGUUGUUUUUCAACUAGUUGAACCUGCCAAAUUUAAGUCUACCUCUUCUAGAAUCAAAUCACUAAACUAGUUGAAGCUGAGGAUAAAAGCUGCUAAUGAAGCUGAGGCGGCUUGCCAACGGCGUCUCUCUGUUGCUGAGGCUGAAAUAGCUGAUUUAAGAUCCAAAUUGGAUACUACUGAAAGCAUGGAAGGCAAGCAUUCGUUUCUGUGCCUAGCACUUUUCCUGUGCCUGGAGAAGAACUGAUGUUUUGAUGAUUGUAAGAGGGGCAAGGAGAAGCUUGUUUGUGAUGCUGCUCAAGUACUGCUUUAUUUCGGAGUUGAACAAAUCAUCUAUGUUUCUGAAAUGACGCACUGCUAAAUAAAGGUCUACACUCCGAGGAAUGCGCCUAUACUAGUGAGGAAAUUGAUGUGGUUCGUGAGCAACGGGCUAAGUGUUUUACCCGCAAGUAUUUACUAUUGGCUUGAGCGCGCUUGAUCGAGGUGGUUUAGUUGUUAUAGAACAAUCGUUUACAUUAAAAUGUAUGCGUACAUUGAAAUUGGAACGUAUAUUUGAAUGUAGUACGUGCACUUUGGUUUUGGGAUAUAUAUAUAUGUAUACAAAACACCAGUUAUUAUUUUUUAUAUUUGUUGA